UUACAAGCCAACACACAAAUUUAAUAUAUUAUAUUUUUUUAAUAAUAUCAAUAUAUAUAUGAUUGCAUAUAAUUACAACAAACAGUUUAGUAAUAUGAUUAUUCUUUCGAAAUAUGAACGUCUAAAUAUACGAUGACACACAAAAUAUUAUAAAUAUACUAAAAACUUAUGAAAUCGAUUAAAACUAAACUAUGUUUCUCAAAAUAAUGUUACGUGUUUACAUAGCAAUUAACUCCAAGUAAGAUGGUACUUCAAAGUAGACAUUUCCAAAAUGGACACGUACAAUCAGAAAAGCGCAAUCAAAUAAAGACUAUCACAACAGAAGCGAAAGAAUGCGGCCCUGUAAAAAAAGUGAGGUGGAAUAUUUUGUCGAUCGAUAAAAAAAGAGGGGAUAAUAUACGACUUUACCUUUCCUGCAGUCAUAUGUGCUCUAACCGUACCGACAACAUGAUCUGUCUUGAAGCACAAUAUUUCAAUCUCAAUAGAAUUAUUUUGCAAUACACUGCAUUAUGGCCGUUACAACAAUCAAAACUGGUUACAUUUCAAUCUACUUUAAUUUUGAUUAUUCUAAUAACCGCUAUUAUGUGUCAGAUAACUACAUUAAUAAUGUCGAAAGUAAGUCCCAAAUUUGUUGUUAACGUUUUCGCUCGUGCAUUUUUUUUAAUGCUCCUGGUCGUACAUUACAGUGCAUUUCGAAUUAACAUAAAAAGUAUAAAGAAUUUACUUCAACAACUUCAUCAUGCAUGUAACAAAUUAACAGAUAAAAACGAAAUUGCAAUAAUACAACAGUAUGGAUGGGAGGCAAAACGUUAUACAGCUGUACUUGUUGUAACCUUCUUUGGCGAAGGAUCCGCUUUUUUUCUCAGUCAAAUUGCAGUAGCUUUUUAUGAAGUGAAUUUAUCUAUAAACAGAACUCGACCACCUCGCUUACAAAUAGCGACCGAGAACAUUCUUGGUGAACACAACUUUUUUCAGUUAAUUCUACUGCACAUAGAUACAGCCAUAAUUCUUGGAGAAAUUUCAUGGAUAGCGAUGGGAACAUUCAUGAUUGCAUAUCUACAACAUACAUGCGGAAUGUUCAAGAUUGCCUGUUAUCGCAUCGAAAAUGCGAUAGGAAUAAACAUCUCAAAGGACAUUAAUCAAAAGAGAGGACCUUCGAUAUCUGAAAAAAUAAUUUGUGCAGUAAAUAUUCAUCGGGAAGCUAUGAGAUUAUCCGAGCAUUUAAUAUCCAUGUUUGAUCCCAUGUACUUCUGUUUAACAGUGUUUGCAGUGAUUACGGUGAGCCUCAACUUUUCUCAAAUUUCUGACAUUGUAACAUCUGGAGAUAUUCGGAAGAACAUAUCGGAAGCUAUAAUUCCUAUUGCGAGUAUACUCAUUAUUAUUUUGUAUGCGUUUUUUGCCAAUUUAAUUGGGCAGAAUGUUAUUGACCACAAUAAUGAAGUAUAUGAUUCCGCGUACAGCAUUUCUUGGUACAUGUGUCCCCUCCAUAUACAAAAGCUGAUACUGUUUCUUUUGGAAAGAAAAACUAAAGAAUUUCAUUUAACUUGUGGUGGAUUAUUCAUAGCAUCGUUCGAGUGUCUUGCUACGUUAGCAAAAGCAACAAUGUCCUAUUUUGCUUUUAUAUAUUCCACAAGAUGAUGAAACAGAAUAUAUCACAGAAAAUAGGAAAGUGUACAAAAAUAUAGUCAUAUUUCUUAUAUCUAAGAUACAAAAGAUUAUAACUCUGAGAAUAAAACAUCUAAAGGUUUUUCUCCUAAGAAGAUAAUAAUAAUUUUAAGAUUAAUUACAAUAAGAUUAUACAUUUAUCAAUAUUAAAAGUAUUAUGCUGCUAUGUUUAUUAGUUAUAGGUAUUAGUUAUAGUUUAGUAGUUAUAACAAAACUGAGCACAUUAUUGCACUACUUUUAUUUUCAUUACGCGUCAAAUCACAAAUUUAAUGCAUUAUAUUUCUUAAAAGCAUAUAUGCUUGUCAAAUAUUAUUACAAACAUUUUAGUAUUAUGCUAUAGUCAUAUAUAAUAUAAAUAUCUGCUAACAAAUAAAAUAGACCAACUUCACAGCGAAGCACAUAAAACAUUUAUCUUUCAAAUAAUGUUAUUUGCUCUUAUACAGCAAUUAAACCAGUAAUAAGAUAAUACUUUAAAGUAGAUGUUUCCAAGAUUGGAACGUACGUAUAAGCAUAGCGGAAUAUAAUAAAGAAUAUCAUAACGGAAAUAAGAGAAACAAGCAUCCCUGCGUGCGUUUCCUAAGAAAUACUCUCCUAUCUUAAUAUGACAUUUUUUUCUUAUAUGAAAUAAAACACAUGUUACAUUUUAUGCAUUAUUAAAUCGAUUGCUUAACGUUAAGUCAUUUACACUGCACCCUAUUUCAUCAUUACACAUAAUUUACAGCAAAUUACAUCGAAUUGAAGAAAUUUACCUUUUAAACUAUACUAAAAAAAAAAAUGAGAUAGAAUAAUGGUGCGAUCGAUAAAGGAAGAGGGGGAAAAUAAUAUGCGUCACUUUCUUUCCCGCAGUCACAUGUGUUCUAAACGUCGCGCUGAUAUGAUCUGUCUCGAAGCAGAAUAUUUUAAUCUCAACAGAAUUCUUUUGCAGUCUAUUGCAUUAUGGCCAUUACAACAAUCAAAACUGGUUCAAUUCCAGUCGACUUUAAUUUUAAUUAUUCUAAUAACGGCUAUUAUGUGUGAGGUAACUACAUUAAUAAUGUCGAAAGUAAGUCCCAAAAUUGUCGUUACCGUUUUAUCUCGUACACUUUUCUUGAUGCUUUUGAUCGUACAUUACAGUGCAUUUCGAAUUAAUAUAAAAAGUAUAAAAACGAAAUUGCUAUAAUACAACAAUAUGGUUGGGAGGCAAAACGUUAUACGACCACACUUCUUGGUAAGAUAAACUAACAAACUUUUCAUACAAUGACAAUUAUAUAUUCCUUUCAGCAUAUUCAUCAUUAUAAAUACUCAAAAUCAAUUCCAACUUAUCGAAAAAACUAAUAUACGAGGUUUGAUCAAAUAUUUUCCGCAAUUUUUAUUUAUUUCAAAAACUCUUUAUUUAUUCAUCAAUAUUGAUAUGGUUUCCUUCGAAGUAGUUCCCAUCGGUUAUAACACAUUUAUGCCAGCGUUUUUUCCAAUUUUUACAAGACUUCUAAAAUGUACUUUUUUGUAUAGCCUUCAGCUUGUUCAACAAUUUUGCUUUUAUCACUUCUAUGGUCGCAAAACGUGGCCCUUUCAUGAUUCUCAUCAUCUUUGGGAAUAGGAAAAAGUCGCAGGAGAUCAAGUGCGGCGAAUACGGUAGCUGAGACAUUACUACAGUGUUGGGUUUUGUCAAAAAUUCACGAAGAAGAAUUGAAAUGUAAAUAGGUGCAAUUUCCACGAGUUGUUUUCUCACAACUGUGAUCGUUUGUUUCUGCUUCACGCAAACGGCGUACAACUUUCAGGUAAUACUCCUUACGUUUCUUAAUUUUCUUAAUUUAUUCUAUGUUUUUAUCAAUAGGUGAUGUACUAGACUGUCCAAUUCUCUCGUUACCUGCAACGUCUUCACGGUCCGAAAGCCUUCUCCAACAUUUCCAACAGCUUACUGUACUUUAUUUUAUUUUUAAACUUGAAUGCAAAUUCUUUGUUCCAUCAUUUUCAAACUUAAAAAAUCGCCAGGCACAACAAAAUACAUCUUACUUAUAUGCCUGUCAAAAAGCAACUACGCAUCCAAAUCCAAAUUACUGAAAUUUACACAUGUGUAUCAACAUCACACAAAAAUGUGUUUAAUCGGAUAGGUAUAGCGCGGGAAAUUCAAAACUCCCCGGAACAUUUUGAUCAGACCUCGUGUAUAUAUAUAUAGCACAAAUAUAAAUAUUACAUGUAUAAGUAGGAUUUGGUAUAUUCCUUAACAUUUUCAAUUUACAAGAAACGCAAAA